rnacentral:rRNA from 1 species
CAGCCGCCGCGGUAAUACGGAGGGUGCAAGCGUUAAUCGGAAUUACUGGGCGUAAAGCGUGCGUAGGCGGUUCGUUAAGUCUGUUGUGAAAGCCCCGGGCUCAACCUGGGAAUGGCAAUGGAUACUGGCGAGCUAGAGUGUGUCAGAGGAUGGUGGAAUUUCCGGUGUAGCGGUGAAAUGCGUAGAUAUCGGAAGGAACACCUGUGGCGAAAGCGGCUCACUGGACAAUAACUGACGCUGAUGCACGAAAGCUAGGGGAGCAAACAGGAUUAGAUACCCCCGUAGUCCCUGUCUCUUAUAC